AGAGCGGUAGCCCGGAGAUGGGCACUGAGACAAGGGCCCAGGCCCUACGGGGCGCAGCAGUUGCGAAAACUCCGCAAUGCGCGAAAGCGUGACGGGGCUACCCCGAGUGCCGUCCGCUGAGGACGGCUUUUCCACGGUGUAAGGAGCCGUGGGAAUAAGGGGGGGGCA
rnacentral:rRNA from 1 species